rnacentral:rRNA from 1 species
AACGAACGCUGGCGGCAGGCCUAACACAUGCAAGUCGAACGAUCCUUUCGGGGAUAGUGGCGGACGGGUUAGUAACGCGUGGGAAUAUGCCCCUGGGUACGGAACAACAGCUGGAAACGGCUGCUAAUACCGUAUGAUGUCUACGGACCAAAGAUUUAUCGCCCAGGGAUUAGCCCGCGUUGGAUUAGGUAGUUGGAGGGGUAAUGGCCCACCAAGCCUACGAUCCAUAGCUGGUUUGAGAGGAUGAUCAGCAACACUGGGACUGAGACACGGCCCAG